rnacentral:rRNA from 1 species
CAGUCGCCGCGGGAAUACGAAGGGUGCAAGCGUUAAUCGGAAUUACUGGGCGUAAAGCGUGCGUAGGCGGUGAGUUAAGUCUGCUGUGAAAUCCCCGGGCUCAACCUGGGAAUGGCAGUGGAUACUGGCUCGCUAGAGUGUGUCAGAGGAUGGUGGAAUUCCCGGUGUAGCGGUGAAAUGCGUAGAGAUCGGGAGGAACAUCAGUGGCGAAGGCGGCCAUCUGGGACAACACUGACGCUGAGGCACGAAAGCGUGGGGAGCAGACAGGAUUAGAUACCCGCGUAGUCCCUGUCUCUUAUAA